UACGUAGGGUGCGAGCGUUGUCCGGAAUUAUUGGGCGUAAAGAGCUCGUAGGCGGAUUUGUAAGUCAGGGGUGAAAUCCCGGGGCUCAACCUCGGAACUGCCUUUGAUACUGCAAAUCUCGAGUCCGGAAGAGGUGAGUGGAAUUCCUAGUGUAGAGGUGAAAUUCGUAGAUAUUAGGAAGAACACCAGUGGCGAAGGCGGCUCACUGGUCCGGUACUGACGCUGAGGUGCGAAAGCGUGGGGAGCAAACAGG
rnacentral:rRNA from 1 species